UUCAUCUGGUGCUGAAACCCAGGAGUGGC
rnacentral:piRNA from 1 species